rnacentral:rRNA from 1 species
UACGUAGGGGGGCAAGCGUUGUCCGGAUUUAUUGGGCGUAAAGAGCGUGUAGGCGGCCAUACAGGUCAGCUGUGAAAACUCGAGGCUCAACCUCGAGACGUCGGUUGAAACCGUAUGGCUAGAGUCCGGAAGAGGAGAGUGGAAUUCCCGGUGUAGCGGUGAAAUGCGCAGAUAUCGGGAAGAACACCCGUGGCGAAGGCGGCUCUCUGGGACGGUACUGACGCUGAGACGCGAAAAGCGUGGGGGAGCGAACAGG